rnacentral:rRNA from 1 species
GAAAUGAAAGUGAAGGCACGCGCUCGUUCGCGUGCCGUGGGAGCAGGGGUCGGGCGCUCGCGCCCGGCCACGCACUCCCGGGGCGUCUCGUUCUCAUUGCGAGAAGAGGCGCACCCAGAGCGUACACGCUGGGACCCGAAAGAUGGUGAACUAUGCCUGGUCAGGACGAAGUCAGGGGAAACCCUGAUGGAGGUCCGUAGCGAUUCUGACGUGCAAAUCGAUCGUCGGAACUGGGUAUAGGGGCGAAAGACUAAUCGAACCAUCUAGUAGCUGGUUCCCUCCGAAGUUUCCCUCAGGAUAGCUGGCGCUCGCCGUGUGCGAGUCUCAUCCGGUAAAGCGAAUGAUUAGAGGCAUUGGGGUCGAAACGGCCUCAACCUAUUCUCAAACUUUAAAUGGGUGAGAUCUCCGGCUUGCUUGAAUAUGCAAUUGCGUGAAGCCGCGAGAUUUUGGAUCAGAGUGCCAAGUGGGCCACUUUUGGUAAGCAGAACUGGCGCUGUGGGAUGAACCAAACGCCGAGUUAAAGCGCCUAAAUCGACGCUUAUGGGAUACCAUGAAAGGCGUUGGUAACUUAAGACAGCAGGUCGGUGGCCAUGGAAGUC